rnacentral:lncRNA from 1 species
GGGACUGCAAUUUAUUCCUGCGUCAUCUGUUUUCAAGAUCUUCCUGUUUUUUUCAAGACUGGUGGAAAUACAAUAGCAGAACACUAACAAAUUGAGAGGAUGAAGGGAAAAUGUGAUGUGUACAACAAAGAAGAUUAUAGAUGGUGUAAACUUCCAAAUAUUAAAAUAUAGGAAAGGAGAAAGCAAGCCCAGUUACUGUAAGUAUGCAGAUUUCAUGAACAAUUUCUGAAUUUUGUACUAUCUCUGAAUUAGCUUCAGUAG